rnacentral:rRNA from 1 species
CAGCAGCCACGGUAAAACGGAGGGUGCAAGCGUUAAUCGGAAUUACUGGGCGUAAAGCGCACGCAGGCGGUCUGACAAGUCAGAUGUGAAAUCCCCGGGCUUAACCUGGGAACUGCAUUUGAAACUGUCAGGCUGGAGUCUUGUAGAGGGGGGUAGAAUUCCAGGUGUAGCGGUGAAAUGCGUAGAGAUCUGGAGGAAUACCGGUGGCGAAGGCGGCCCCCUGGACAAAGACUGACGCUCAGGUGCGAAAGCGUGGGGAGCAAACAGGAUUAGAUACCCGCGUAGUCCCUGUCUCUUAUAA